CACACUUCUACACCAGCCAGAGGAGCAGUGAGGGUCCCAGCACGGGCACAGCCAGGGGAGCCCAGACCUGCUAAGUCCUUAGGCUCCUGUGUGCUGUGUGAAUGGGGAAGAAGUAUGGAAGCAGUCUCUGCGUGCCAGGCACAUCUCCCAGCAGAGAUGGCUGUGGUCCCUGCCCUGCUGGAACACUUCAAUGCAUUCUUUCUAUGAAGGAUGCUGUGGCCACAUUCCUUGGAAAUGACACUAAAGCUGUCUGGUUCUGAUCUGUGGAAGCAGCUUUCUGCUCUGGGAUGCAGGACAAUGGGGGCUUCUCACUGGUGGGGCUUUCCCUUUCCUCCCUCCCCAAGUAAGACUGGCUGUGCGCUCCUAUGUGUUGGCUGCCUGCUCUCCCGUCUGUCAUGAACAUUUGCAUGGGUGUAAAGCUAACAGAAGAGAAAGCAAACAAGGUAGCAUAGAAGUAAUUAAGGAUUUUAUAAAAGUUUUCUUUUCUUGUUAUCAUAAUUCAGCUCAAGCCAGUAGUAUAAACUACCUCAGUCUCAUCCUCAGUAUGUGAUGCUGGCAGGAAGAUAGAUGCAGGGGAGAGUGAGAAUACACACGAGAUCAAAAAUAGCACGGACAGUCUGGAAAUGCACGUGCACAGAGGCACAUGGGUGGCUGCAUCACAUGUCCUCAUCUUCCCCUUCAGGAGAGCUUCAUACAGAAGCAACCCCAAAUUUCAUCCAUAGUGAAUAUCCCUUAGCCUACACCAUGAAGGGCAUAUGGGGGCUGUAUGGGGCACUUCUCAUGCAUUAGGAGAGGGCAGCCUGAUCUUGCUAGUUAGCCAUGGUGUUUUUACAUUGAUUAGAGAGAAAUGAGAGGGAAUGUUUGAAGUUCAGGCACCAUGGCAGGAAUGAGUAUGACGAUGUCAAUGUGAUUGUAAAAAGUCUGUUUUAUUAAACUUGUCUUCUGCUAACAAAA